rnacentral:rRNA from 1 species
AUGGAUGCGAGUUGCGCGACGGCCAGGAAGGAGAAAGAAGAGAGGGAGUAUAUAUCAAUGCGCAGGAGGACACGGGCGAAGGAAAGUUGGAACCCUAACAAAGACAAAAAGGAUGUCUACACCCACAGGUCGUGGAAAACCGAUGAGCUCAAACUCACGGGUCCUACUCGUGCUGUUGUGGUCGAUUUCGACCCAGGGAGUUUUGAGGUUGUGCUCAAAGUUAAGGGCGCAACUGAAUCUGCUGAUAGAGACCUAAGUUUUCUAGUCCUGCCAUUAGAAGAACGUUAUCAGUAUCAUAGGUAUUAUACUAGUAAAAAUAGCACACUGGAGUUAACACUCCGCCGCGUUGAUCAGUCUGUGGAGGCAACAAUCAGUAUGCGACUCGCUGCUGGUUCAUCAUGGCCACGCGGUUUCCAGGGUGUAUUUACCGCCAGUAUUGCCAGUAUAGAUGAUGCCGAAGUUUCCUUGCUUUCUUUUGAAGAUGAUAGAUUGCCAGUUAAUGCCGAUGACACGGCGUGUUGUCUCCGUUGA